rnacentral:misc_RNA from 1 species
GAUGAAGAACGCAGCGAAAUGCGAUAAGUAGUGUGAAUUGCAGAAUUCAGUGAAUCAUCGAAUCUUUGAACGCACAUUGCGCCCAUUGGUAUUCCAUGGGGCAUGCCUGUUCGAGCGUCAUUUGUACCUUCAAGCUUUGCUUGGUGUUGGGUGUUUGUCUCGCCUUUGCGUGUAGACUCGCCUUAAAAUAAUUGGCAGCCGGCGUAUUGAUUUCGGAGCGCAGUACAUCUCGCGCUUUGCACUCAUAACGACAGCGUCCAAAAGUACAUUUUACACUCUUGACCUCGGAUCAGGUAGGGAUACCCGCUGAACUUAAGCAUAUCAAUAAGCGGAGGA